ensembl:lncRNA
CUGUCAUCUGCUGUCUUGAUAGAAAGGGCAGAUUUCAUGCAACAUGUAAGUAAACUGCAGUGGGAAGGAAAGGAGAGUCUCUGUGUUCUCACCCACAUGCAGUCCUUCUCCUUACAGCCUGCUUUGUGUUUCUGCUCUUCACGUUCCUGGCACUGCUGCUGUCCAUGGCCUUCACAGGCAGAUUUUUUACCCCCUGGACCAUUGGGGAAGCCCUUCCAGCUCCACAGACACAUGACUUAAAGAAGAAACUGAAGAGAAGCCACCAGGAGACGUGUUGGGGGUUUCCCUACAGAAAAGGUUAGAUCCUGACUGUCAGCUUGGAAUCCUGGCUCUGGUCCUUUCUAGAUUCUAGUGUCAUCAUGGACAUGCCUUGAAAUUCUCUGUGCUGCAGGCUGCU